rnacentral:rRNA from 1 species
AUACGUAGGGUGCGAGCGUUGUCCGGAAUUACUGGGCGUAAAGAGCUCGUAGGUGGUUUGUCGCGUCGUCUGUGAAAUUCCGGGGCUUAACUCCGGGCGUGCAGGCGAUACGGGCAUAACUUGAGUACUGUAGGGGAGACUGGAAUUCCUGGUGUAGCGGUGAAAUGCGCAGAUAUCAGGAGGAACACCGGUGGCGAAGGCGGUUCUCUGGGCAGUAACUGACGCUGAGGAGCGAAAGCAUGGGUAGCGAACAGGAUUGGAUACCCUGGUAGUCCAUGCCGUAAACGGUGGGCGCUAGGUGUAGGGGUCUUCCACGACUUCUGUGCCGUAGCUAAAGCAUUAAGCGCCCCGCCUGGGGAGUACGGCCGCAAGGCUAAAACUCAAAGGAAUUGACGGG